rnacentral:rRNA from 1 species
UACGUAGGGGGCUAGCGUUGUCCGGAAUCAUUGGGCGUAAAGAGCGUGUAGGCGGUCCGGUAAGUCCGCUGUGAAAGUCGGGGGCUCAACCCUCGAAUGCCGGUGGAUACUGUCGGGCUAGAGUACGGAAGAGGCGAGUGGAAUUCCUGGUGUAGCGGUGAAAUGCGCAGAUAUCAGGAGGAACACCAAUUGCGAAGGCAGCUCGCUGGGACGUUACUGACGCUGAGACGCGAAAGCGUGGGAGCAACAGG